rnacentral:rRNA from 1 species
GAUGAACGCUGACAGAAUGCUUAACACAUGCAAGUCGAUGGGGAAGUGGUGCUUGCACCAUGGUAACCAUGGCGGACGGGUGAGUAACGCGUAAGGAACUUGCCUGCGGGACUGGGAUAACAGCAGGAAACUGCUGAUAAUACCGGAUAAGGUCAUUAAGCUGCAUAGCUUAGUGAUGAAAGGAGACGCCUGCGGAGAGCCUUGCGUCCUAUUAGCUAGUUGGAGGGGUAACGGCCCACCAAGGCGAAGAUAGGUAGCCGGCCUGAGAGGGUGGACGGCCACAAGGGGACUGAGAUACGGCCGUUACUCCUACGGGAGGCAGCAGUGGGGAAUAUUGGACAAUGGGGGCAACCCUGAUCCAGCUAUUCUGUGUGCACGAAGACGGUUUUCGGAUUGUAAAGUGCUUUCAGCAGGGAAGAAGGAAGUGACGGUACCUGCAGAGGAAGCGACGGCUAAAUACGUG